rnacentral:rRNA from 2 species
CAUGAUUUACAUUUGAGUGAGUGGCGAACUGGUGAGUAACACGUGGGAAACCUGCCCAGAAGCGGGGGAUAACACCUGGAAACAGAUGCUAAUACCGCAUAACAACUUGGACCGCAUGGUCCGAGUUUGAAAGAUGGCUUCGGCUAUCACUUUUGGAUGGUCCCGCGGCGUAUUAGCUAGAUGGUGGGGUAACGGCUCACCAUGGCAAUGAUACGUAGCCGACCUGAGAGGGUAAUCGGCCACAUUGGGACUGAGACACGGCCCAAACUCCUACGGGAGGCAGCAGUAGGGAAUCUUCCACAAUGGACGAAAGUCUGAUGGAGCAACGCCGCGUGAGUGAAGAAGGGUUUCGGCUCGUAAAACUCUGUUGUUAAAGAAGAACAUAUCUGAGAGUAACUGUUCAGGUAUUGACGGUAUUUAACCAGAAAGCCACGGCUAACUACGUGCCAGCAGCCGCGGUAAUACGUAGGUGGCAAGCGUUGUCCGGAUUUAUUGGGCGUAAAGCGAGCGCAGGCGGUUUUUUAAGUCUGAUGUGAAAGCCUUCGGCUCAACCGAAGAAGUGCAUCGGAAACUGGGAAACUUGAGUGCAGAAGAGGACAGUGGAACUCCAUGUGUAGCGGUGAAAUGCGUAGAUAUAUGGAAGAACACCAGUGGCGAAGGCGGCUGUCUGGUCUGUAACUGACGCUGAGGCUCGAAAGUAUGGGUAGCAAACAGGAUUAGAUACCCUGGUAGUCCAUACCGUAAACGAUGAAUGCUAAGUGUUGGAGGGUUUCCGCCCUUCAGUGCUGCAGCUAACGCAUUAAGCAUUCCGCCUGGGGAGUACGGCCGCAAGGCUGAAACUCAAAGGAAUUGACGGGGGCCCGCACAAGCGGUGGAGCAUGUGGUUUAAUUCGAAGCUACGCGAAGAACCUUACCAGGUCUUGACAUACUAUGCAAAUCUAAGAGAUUAGACGUUCCCUUCGGGGACAUGGAUACAGGUGGUGCAUGGUUGUCGUCAGCUCGUGUCGUGAGAUGUUGGGUUAAGUCCCGCAACGAGCGCAACCCUUAUUAUCAGUUGCCAGCAUUAAGUUGGGCACUCUGGUGAGACUGCCGGUGACAAACCGGAGGAAGGUGGGGAUGACGUCAAAUCAUCAUGCCCCUUAUGACCUGGGCUACACACGUGCUACAAUGGAUGGUACAACGAGUUGCGAACUCGCGAGAGUAAGCUAAUCUCUUAAAGCCAUUCUCAGUUCGGAUUGUAGGCUGCAACUCGCCUACAUGAAGUCGGAAUCGCUAGUAAUCGCGGAUCAGCAUGCCGCGGUGAAUACGUUCCCGGGCCUUGUACACACCGCCCGU